rnacentral:rRNA from 1 species
UUUGUAUAAUGGGUCAGCGACUUAUAUUCAGUGGCAAGGUUAACCAUCUAGGGGAGCCGUAGGGAAACCGAGUCUUAACUGGGCGUUCAGUCUCUGGAUAUAGACCCGAAACCAGGUGAUCUAGCCAUGGGCAGGUUGAAGGUUGAGUAACAUCAACUGGAGGACCGAACCGACUAAUGUUGAAAAAUUAGCGGAUGACUUGUGGCUAGGGGUGAAAGGCCAAUCAAACCUGGAGAUAGCUGGUUCUCCCCGAAAGCUAUUUAGGUAGCGCCUCGGACGAAUACUACUGGGGGUAGAGCACUGUUAAGGCUAGGGGGUCAUCCCGACUUACCAACCCUUUGCAAACUCCGAAUACCAGUAAGUACUAUCCGGGAGACACACGGCGGGUGCUAACGUCCGUCGUGGAGAGGGAAACAACCCAGACCGCCAGCUAAGGUCCCAAAUUACUACUAAGUGGGAAACGAUGUGGGAAGGCUCAGACAGCCAGGAUGUUGGCUUAGAAGCAGCCAUCAUUUAAAGAAAGCGUAAUAGCUCACUGGUCGAGUCGGCCUGCGCGGAAGAUGUAACGGGGCUAAGUAGUAAACCGAAGCUGCGGCAAUGCACUUUAGUGCAUUGGGUAGGGGAGCGUUCUGUAAGCGGUUGAAGGUGUGUGGUAACGCAUGCUGGACGUAUCAGAAGUGCGAAUGCUGACAUGAGUAACGAUAAAGGGGGUGAAAAACCUCCUCGCCGGAAGACCAAGGGUUCCUGUCCAACGUUAAUCGGGGCAGGGUAAGUCGACCCCUAAGGCGAGGCCGAAAGGCGUAGUCGAUGGGAAACGGGUUAAUAUUCCCGUACUUCU